rnacentral:rRNA from 1 species
CCUACGGGAGGCAGCAGUGGGGAAUUUUGGGCAAUGGGGGAAACCCUGACCCAGCGACGCCGCGUGGAGGAUGACGGCCUUCGGGUUGUAAACUCCUGUCAGGUGGGAAGAAGAGCUUGUCGGUUAAUACCCGGCAGGAAUUGACGGUACCACCAAAGGAAGCCCCGGCUAACUCCGUGCCAGCAGCCGCGGUAAUACGUAGGGGGCGAACGUUGCUCGGAUUUAUUGGGCGUAAAGGGCGUCUAGGCGGUGUCUUAAGUUGGGCGUGAAAUCUCCCGGCUCAACUGGGAGGCUGCGUUCAAUACUGAGACACUUGAGGGCAGGAGAGGAAAGUGGAAUUCCCGGUGUAGUGGUGGAAUACUUAGAUAUCGGGAGGAACACCAGUGGCGAAGGCGGCUUUCUGGCCUGCACCUGACGCUGAAGCGCGAAAGCGUGGGUAGCGAACGGGAUUAGAUACCCCGGUAGUCCACGCUGUAAACGAUGGAUACUAGGUGUUGGUGGUUAUUGACCCCAUCAGUGCCGCAGCUAACGCGUUAAGUAUCCCGCCUGGGGACUACGGCCGCAAGGCUAAAACUCAAAGGAAUUGACGG